rnacentral:rRNA from 1 species
AUUGAACGCUGGCGGCAGGCCUAACACAUGCAAGUCGAGCGGAGAUGAGGUGCUUGCACCUUAUCUUAGCGGCGGACGGGUGAGUAAUGCUUAGGAAUCUGCCUAUUAGUGGGGGACAACAUUCCGAAAGGAAUGCUAAUACCGCAUACGCCCUACGGGGGAAAGCAGGGGAUCCUCGGACCUUGCGCUAAUAGAUGAGCCUAAGUCGGAUUAGCUAGUUGGUGGGGUAAAGGCCUACCAAGGCGACGAUCUGUAGCGGGUCUGAGAGGAUGAUCCGCCACACUGGGACUGAGACACGGCCCAGACUCCUACGGGAGGCAGCAGUGGGGAAUAUUGGACAAUGGGCGGAAGCCUGAUCCAGCCAUGCCGCGUGUGUGAAGAAGGCCUUUUGGUUGUAAAGCACUUUAAGCGAGGAGGAGGCUACCUGGAUUAAUACUCUAGGAUAGUGGACGAUACUCGCAGAAUAAGCACCGGCUAACUCUGUGCCAGCCGCCGCCGUAAAAC